rnacentral:misc_RNA from 1 species
GAUGAAGAACGUAGCGGAAUGCGAUAAGUAGUGUGAAUUGCAGAAUUCAGUGAAUCAUCGAAUCUUUGAACGCACAUUGCGCCCCUUGGUAUCCCGAGGGGCAUGCCUGUUCGAGCGUCAUUUCACCACUCAAGCCUGGCUUGGUGUUGGGCGACGUCCCCUUUAGGGACGCGCCUCGAAACGCUCGGCGGCGCGGCACCGGCUUUAAGCGUAGCAGAAUCUUUCGCUUUGGAAGUCGGGGCCCCGCCUGCCGGAAUACCUACUUGUAAGGUUGACCUCGGAUCAGGCAGGGAUACCCGCUGAACUUAAGCAUAUCAAUAAGCGGAGGA